rnacentral:lncRNA from 1 species
GAGGACCCUGGCCAGGGCUCAGGGCCUGCCUCUGUCUUUCCCACAGUCCUGCCCACUGGAGUCAUCCAGCGAGGUGGGAGGGGGCCGCUCACGGGUGGUUCUGUGGGAGCCCUGAAGCCAGGAGCAGCCACUGGGGAGCUUGGCCCCACCGGAGGGGUCUUUGGGAGCAUUGAGGGGAGCUUGCUGGCUCUGUCCUGCAGUUGCCCAGCCCCGGCAGCUCUUCAGGGGUGGCAUGAGUUGCAGAAUGCCCUACCCUGGGCCCUGGUGGGUGUCACAGCAGGGCCUGGCUCCAGGGGCUUUUCAGCCUGGUAUAAGGAAGGGGGCGGCCUCCAGCCACCCAAGGCACUUGGGCUUGGGGGCCAUGGUGGUGCUGGUGUUUAUCACAACAAACAGGACGGCCUGGACACUGACCCUCAGACCCAGGGACGCGCGGAUGGAUGGACAGCAGGUGUUCUUCCCAGAGACCCCCGGGGGGUGCCGCCGUGGGCGGGAG